rnacentral:ncRNA from 1 species
UAGGGCGAUCUUUAGUGCAUAGCGCAAGUUUCCAAUUAACUUUUCAGCAUACCUUGAAUAUUUAAGGAAUGACCUUAUCUAAUCUCCAGUAGCAAAUUCUGACUAGUAUUGGAGGUGUUAUGCGUCUGGAUCGUCUUAC